CAUCAGGGUGAUGUUUUCUUUUAUUCCUCAGCCUUCAAGUGACACGCUGCACUCAAAAGCAAAAUGACACUGUUCAUUGGCUCUGUAACCCUAAACACAGCUGUACUGUAAAGCAGGGUCGGGUCCUCAGACCCUCUGACCGGUCUUGCCCUGGCACCCUCAGUAAAACCACAUUACGCUGGUUUCUGCAGAGCUGGAUUAUUGACUGCACCUCAGAACAACAAAACUCUGAGUGAAAGGUUCAACACAGCAGCAGGAGCAGCAGGGAGGCACGGUGAAGAGGAGUUUCAGAGGAGAGGAAACUAAAACAAAGUCUUUUCUAUACCGGAGUCGUCGGGUGGAACAGAGGCAGAUUCUUCUGUAUCCGACGGCAGCAGGGUGGACAGACUGUGGCUGUGCAGACGAUCACUGAUGUCGCUGAUGCUUGAGACGGGAGCAGAAAACCUUCUGAGAGGUUUGAUCACUGGCUGUACAGCCUUCCUCUCCUCCAGACAGGAUGCUUUCUAUUGAUCGUCUGUAAGAGCUGACAGGAAUUUGGCCCUGGAGACGUUUCUGUGCUUGUUUGCUUCUUAAGGCUGUGAUGUGCAGUGUGCCAUCUGGUGUUGAGGUUGCAACCAACUAAAUACCCCUCCCUCACUGUUCCCUUUUAAAUUUGCAACUCUGCUCUCUGUUCAACUCUCUGUUUCACAUUGUGACAAUGCUGUACCUAUGUUCUGGUGAGGUUUAGGCCCAUAAUCAUUUGUCCCAAAAUAUCUUGUGAUUUUAUGUUUAUAACUAUUGAAGCGGUCUCAGACUGGGUCAGUGUCUCGGCAGCUGUCGGUCCUUCAGCUCCGAUCACCUCAGAAAUGUCCAUAUGGCUGAACCUCCACGAUCAGAUAUAUUAAUCAUGUUGCUGUGGCGACAGACUGCUCAGAAUCAGCCAAAGUCUUGAAG